rnacentral:rRNA from 1 species
CACGUAGGGCGCAAGCGUUGUCCGGAAUUAUUGGGCGUAAAGAGCUCGUAGGCGGUCUGUUGCGUCCGCUGUGAAAACUCGGGGCUUAACCCCGAGCCUGCAGUGGAUACGGGCAGACUAGAGGUAGGUAGGGGAGAAUGGAAUUCCCGGUGUAGCGGUGAAAUGCGCAGAUAUCGGGAGGAACACCGGUGGCGAAGGCGGUUCUCUGGGACGGUACCGACGCUGAGACGCGAAAGCGUGGGGAGCGAACAGG